AGCCUUAAGGUGAUAGUCAUGUUGAAUUGCAAAUUCGAAGGUGUAGAGCAAGAGUCUACUGAGGCUU
rnacentral:tRNA from 1 species